GGGAAACUCGAUGAGUUCAUCCCAAAGCAUUGAAAAACACUAAACAAACACCUCUCUUUCUCUCUGGCGAACUCGAUAGAGAGACUACGGUUUUACACCGAUACUUAUAGUCUUCUUUCACUCUUAGGAAUCUCUACAGCGAGCAGAAGAAGGGUAAAUCGCUAAUUGAAAUCCAAUUGAAGCGAAAAUAAGGGUUGGUUUUU
rnacentral:misc_RNA from 1 species